rnacentral:lncRNA from 1 species
AAAAGCUGACCUAAGGAUAUAAUCAGACGCUAUAACAAAAAAGAGAGGCGCCGUGUUUUGACAAAAAAAUCGUACCCUCUUCCCUUGACUUCAUCUUCUCCAAACGACCCCCUUUUCCUCAUCUCUGGCGGAGCCCACACCAGCGACCAGCAUCAACCCCUGUUUCGCCAAAAAUAAGCAGAAAAAGACCGUCCUUGUUUGCUAAAUCAAAGUGAAAUAGACCGGAAAACGUCCCCGACGAGGUCCCGGUUUGAAUUUCCGGUGUACGGUUAGAGGCUAAGAAGGAGGAACUUUGUACGCAAGAAAUGGAGGUAGUCCUCUCAUAUUCUUCUUAUUCUUGUCUUAGCAAACUCUAUAGUAUGCUUUAUCUAUCAUCCAAAAUAUGUACUUUGUCAUCUCUCCUUUUUUGUAAUUAUAUUUAAAUCUGAUUGACUUGGAUGACAACAACGUGCAUUAGUCUGUUGAUUUAUCUCUACAAAUUUAAGAGGGGUGGUAUUCAAUAGAACUAUGUUCAUUUUAUGUUCUACCUAAGCAGAAAUUCGAAAAGUUUCUUAUUUCGCGUAAGAACAUGCAAACCAUUUAUCCUAGAUAUAUGUAUUCAAGUUAUAUCUCAGUUCAAACGAGUGUAUUUCAGAAAUUGAGGCAACGAGAUUAAAUUAAAUUUUUUUAAUUACUAAAUUCGGGUAUGCAUUUCAUGUGACCCUACCAUAAUUUUUGAAUAAUGAUAAUAGAAAUUAUCAUGUUAUAAAUCCGGGUGUACAUUUCAUGUGACCCUGUUCUCAUUUCCAACAAGGUUAAAUAGAACGUGUCGUGAACCACGGGUGCAUUUCAUGUAGCGUGGCUUGCAAUGUGUUUUAAAUAACCUUGAAUUAAUCCUUUAAAUAAGUAAAAGCGGUUUUCAAAAGUUAAAAAUGUACAUAAGUUUAAAAGUGUUUUAAAAAUCAAAUAAAUAAGCCAAUAAUAAUAGUUGAGCGAUCGUGCUAGAACCAUGGAACCCGGGAAUGCCUAACACCUUCUCCCGAAUUAACAGAAUUCCUUACUCGGAUUUCUGUGGUCGCGGACUAUAAAACAGAGUCAAUCUUUCCUCGAUUUCGGAUUUGAACCGGUGACUUGGGACUCCAUAGACCAUCCCAAGUGGCGACUCUGAUUUUAAAUAAAAUAAUCCUGUUUCAAUUGUCACUUAAAUUGGAAAGAACUCCCUUAUACCGCCAUCGGGUGGUAAAAAGGAGGUAUGACAGCUCUGGCGACUCUGUUGGGGAGGAGAACCCAGAACUUUUGGUUCAAGGUUCAGAAUUAGAGCUUAGAAUAAUUGUUAUAGUUGGCUUUUAUUAUUAUAUGAUUUUUUACAUGUUUGAGCCUAAUGUGCUAAAUGCCGCUUUUUACCGCUUUGAUAUUUUUGAACUGUAUAUAAAUUGUUACGAAACCCUCUUCUCUCUAAGUCUUCUAAAUCAUCUAGGAAUUGUGCACUUUGUGUGACUUCUUUUCUGUUAGAGUCAUAUCCCAAUUUUAGAACGAGGUUCUGACAAGUUGCAAAGCAGGUAAAGCUUCUGUAUUUCCGGUACACUGCCCCCCUCGGCUCGACCGCUCGGGUAAGCCAGAUCUAGAACAAUACACCCAGGUUUUUAAACCUAGAAUAACAUAGCCUUAUGUCGGAUCCCUAGUAGCAAUGCUUAUUUGCAUCACGUGCAUUUGACUUUGCGGACUCAACACAGGGGUUGGAUCCGUCUAGGACAAGUGUACCCAAUUUAAAAGAACAUCCUGAUGCAUCUUACGUGCUACUUGCCUAUCUGUUUGUUUCGGCUUGCAUGUUGACUGGCUUCUAGAAUAGGGAAAGAAAAUGAAAAAAGAGAAAAUAAAGAGAAAAUAAAAAAAAAAAAAAAAGAAAAGAGAGUGAGAGGUAGGUAUUUGAAUUAUCCUAAAAUUCUGCCGAAAUUUUGAAAAAAAGAAGAGAAAAAGUCAUUUCAAAAUAAAUCAUGUUUUUCCUGUUCCAUCAAAACCGGUGAACUACGCGGGUCUGAUUCUCACCGGAUGUGAGAUACGUAGGCAAACCUCAUCGGUUCCGACCCCAUUUUUCAAAAAUUCAAAAAAAAUCCUUUAAUUCCUUCUUUAGAAGUCUUUCUUUAGAAAGUCCAAAUAAAAAAAGUUAACAAAAAAUAUUUUCUUUCAUUUUAGAAGUCUUUCAUUUGAAAAGAAAAUCAAAUCAAAAUCCAAAAAAAUAUUUUCUACGUUUUUUAGAAGUCUUUUUCCCAAAAAAUCAAAACAAUCAAAUCAAAAUCCAAAAAAAUAUUUUCUUUCUUCUUUAGAAGUCUUUCUUUCAAAAAUUUUGAAAAAAAAAAACAAAAUCAAAAAUAUAAAAAUAUUUUCAUUGAAAAGAAAUUCAAGAAUCAAAAAUAUUUUCUUUUUCUUUAGAAGUAGUUCUUUCAUAAAUUGAAAAUAAAAGUCCAAAAAUUCAAAAAUAUUUCUUUCCUUCUUUAAAAGUUUUUCUUUCGGAAAUUCCAAAAAAAAAGAGUCAAAAUUCAAUAUAUAUAUAUUUCUAAAUAAAUUUCAAAAUUCAAAAAGAGAGUCAAUUUAGUUACUUUAUUCCCGAUCUUCCCGAACUACGCAAGAUCUGAUUCAUGUUCCCACAUGUUACGUAGGCAACCCACAUCAAGUUCGAUCAACCAUUGAAAAGAAAAAUGAGAAUAAAUAAAAAAAAGAGGAAAAAGAAAAGAAAAAAGAAAAAAAAUCCAGUAUCUAAAACUGGGGCAGAGAUUUUAUUUUACUUUUGAAAGAGUCGAUUCCAAGAGAUGUAAGUCCACAACCCCUCAUUUUGAGUCUACUUUAAGCCUUCAUGCCGUCCCUUCUUUCCAACGCUAUCCAAAAUCCUUCCAAAUAAAGACCUCCCGAUAUGCCUUCAAGAAUGCUAAGAGAAGAAUUAUGCAAUGAGUAACAGUUGUCACACGACAUAGAACACUGUCAAGUUGCUCAAGAAAACAACAGAUUAAAAAAAGAGAAGAAGAAAAAUGAGAGAGUCUUACAAGUGAAAACCCUCAUAGGCACUAUAAGGCGACGGUAAGCAGAGAUGAAUAAAUGAGAGAGACUUGUUGGUGAAAAUCCCUCGGGGAACCACUAAUCGAAAGUGAGUCAUGAAGCGAUGCAAAGGAUUGGCACGAACAAGCCCGACUUCAAAGGUCAUAAGAAUGGCAAAAGGGAAGAUUGGAUUAAUUUGAUAGAUCAAGCCAUUGAGUCCAAAAUGCAUGUCAUGACCAUUAAGGCUAGUUAUUGAAAAAAAAAGGAAAAAAAACUCUUCCUUCUGUCCUUCCGACAGGGGCAUUUUUUGUUAAUAAUUGUCUCAUUGCAUCAUUGUGUCCUUCACUCCGAGUUCAAACAAGCAAGAAAAGAUUUCAAAAUCUACUACCAGUUUGUCAAUUGCACAAAGUAAAGUUGGCCAGCACACUCAGUUGUUACUUUUAACAUGCCUUGAGGAUUCAUGCAAAAGAUCCCCCCCUAAAAGACUCUUGUCAGCCUGCUUGGCGCAAACAAAGAUAACUUGUGAUUCUCUCUGGCAGACAAAUUGCUCAAAAGUAGGAAGUCAUUCAAGAUAUCAGAAAAGGUCACUUGAGCAAAGAUCUCCCGUUGGGAUAAGGCUGAUUGAACCACAAAUACAAAUGGUAAUGGGUUUGAAAAAAUCGGGGUUGAUGCAGAGUAAAAGUCUCUUGAAACCUACUCAAGCUGAUUGAGCAAAAGUCAAAGCUGUCCAAGGACUCAAGGCCACAACCGACUACCAUUUUCAAAACUGACAAAUUUUUCUUUGUGUGAAACAGGAACAAAGCAGUGCAAGAAAAGUUGUUAAAAAAAACAAAAAAAAGAGAAAAAAAAACAAAAAAAAGAAAGAAAAAAAGAGAAGAAAAAGAAAAGAAGAGAAGAGCCGACAAAAGGAAGUUUCUCAAAUCUUUACCUUUAUUUGUUUUGUUAAUGUGUAAAAAAUCUUGCCAUUGAUAUUCACAUUUUGCAUCCUAGGAUAAAAAGUCCUAGUCUGAUGGAUUUUUCUCCCAAUAGAAAUCUUAGUCUGAUGAAUUUUUCUCCUAAGAUAGAAGACCUAGUCUGAUGAACUUUCUCAUAGGAUAAAAAUCUUAGUCCGAUGAAUCUUUCUCAUAAGAUAAUAAAAAAAGGACCUAGUCUAAUGAACUUUCUCCUAGGAUCAAAAUCUUAGUCUGAUGAAUCUUUCUCCUAAGAUAGAAGACCUAGUCUGAUUAACUUUCUCCUAGGAUCAAAAUAUUAGUCCGAUGAAUCUUUCUCCUAAGAUAAUAAAAAAAGACUUAGUCUGAUGAACUUUCUCCUAGGAUCAAAAUCUUAGUCUGAUGAAUCUUUCUCCUAAGAUAGAAAACCUUGUCUGAUGAAUUUUCUCCUAGGAUCAAAGUCUUAGUCCGAUGAAUUUUUCUCCUAAGAUAGAAGACCUAGUCUGAUGAACUUUCUCCUAGGAUAGAAAUCUUAGUCUGAUGAAUCUUUCUCCUAAGAUAUAAAAAGAGAGACCUAAUCUGAUGAAUUUUCUCCUAUNNNNNNNNNNNNNNNNNUCNAAGUCUUAGUCUGAUGAAUUUUUCUCCUAAAAUAGAAGACCUAGUCUGAUGAACUUUCUCCUAGGAUAGAGAUCUUAGUCUGAUGAAUCUUUCUCCUAAGAUACAAAAAAAGAGACCUAAUCUAAUGAAUUUUCUCCUAUGAUCAAAGUCUUAGUCGGGUGAAUUUUGCUCCUAAGAUAGAAGACCUAGUCUGAUGAACUUUCUCCUAGGAUAGAAAUCUUAGUCUGAUGAAUCUUUCUUCUAAGAUACCAAAAAAAAGAGACCUAGUCUGAUGAAUUUUCUCCUAGAAUCAAAUCUUAGUCUAAUGAAUUUUUCUCCUAAGAUAGAAGACUUAGUCUGAUGAACUUUCUCCUUGGAUCAAAACCUUAGUCUGAUGAAUCUUUCUCUUAAGAUACCAAAAUAAAGUGACCUAGUCUGACGAAUUUUCUCCUAGGAUAAUUUGAAAAAAGAAGAAGUCUGGAUUUAAAAAAAAAGGGGUCAACCUUAGUUUCUUAAGCUAUCAAUGUUUAGUUUUCUUGAAAUCAGGGGUCCCACCUAAAGAAUGAGGUCAGUUUUUACUUUAGUCAAGCUUAGUUUAUAGUUUUCCGCAAGCUAAAUCACUUAUAGGAGACAUACAUCCUAGUCGAGUCAUUAAUUUUACUUUCAUCAUUGCAUAAGUGGUUUACAGUUUUGCUAACAACUCACAAAUCUUCCGAGUGCAAAUUGGGGCAGAAAAUUUUGUUGGUUUUGUUGUUUUGAUUGCAGGCACCCACUUGUAGAAUAAGGGAAGACAGUUCAAGAGUCAACGGAAAACGAGUCAAGUUUUGAGGGAAAAACAGUACAAGUGUUGGAAAUCAGGAGUCCACCUGGAGAAUAAAGGGAAAGUAGCAAUAUUCAAGGGAAGAAAGUUCAAAAGAAAAAGCAGUUUCAAGAAGAGGACAAUUCAGGUUCAGCAAUCAGGCACCCACUUGGAGAAACAAGGGAAAACAACACGAGUUUCAAGAGUAGAAAGUAGUUCAGGUUCAAGCAAUCAGGCACACAUAUGGAGAAACAAGGGAAGACGAUUCCAAGAAAAAGCGGUCUUAAGAGAAAGCAGUUCAGGUUCAACAAUCAGGAGCCCAUUUGAAGAACAAAGUGAAAAACAGUACAAGUGUUGGAAAUUGGAGCCCACCAAGAGAACAAAGGGAAAGCAAUUCAAGUGUUGGUAAUCAGGAGCCCACCUGGAGAACAAAGGGAAGUAGUUCAAGUUUCGAGGAAAAAAAGUUCAAGUGUUGGAAAUCAGGCGCCUGUCUGGAGAACAAGGGAAGUCAUUUUAGAAUCCGAUUCAAGUUAGAAGUAGCAGAAGCUCGUCUCAAAAAUGCGGGUUGACAGGGGUCCGAGAUAACAAAAAAGAAGUCUCAAUCAAGAAUAAAAGGAAAAAAAGUGAAUCCAAAGUGCAGAAGUGGAGAAAAGAUGUGGUCUGCUCAAGACAUAAUUGAAGUCACAAGCUCUGCAUGUCCCGUCUUGAUCUGAAAAGCUGAAGAAGAUUGAACUAACACAUGUAGCUAACAAGCAUCAAGAUUCACAUCAGAGUCCGCAUGAAUAACCAACCAAGACUCAAGAUCAAGCUUCAGAAGACUCAUAGAUAGGAAUCUUGUAAUUCGUUGCUGAUAGGCUUAGUUAGUCUUUUUUAUUUUUUGAUUUUGAUGUAAUAACGGGAUCGCGGACCGGAACCUCGACGACACCCCAAUCGGCUCUCCACCUCGGUACUCUAUCACCUCAUUCACUUCUGAACUACACGUGGCCUGAUUCCUUUAUAGCCAAGGAUAUGUAGGCAGCUCAGAUACUAGGGCUCGGUCACAUUCUCCUUUCUUUUUGUAUUGGUCUCUCCAAAUAAGGGUCGGGUCAAAAUACCUGUCUCGUCGUUCUUUGUCUGAAAACUCUUCGCGUUUCCAGUCAAAGAGGGGCAGCUGUAGACAUGUGAUUUUUGACUCUCCCCAAGAUUUUUUAUAUUUUAAUAUGUAAAUAUUUAGUUUAGGCCUAAUAUCUUUAUUUAAACUAAUUUUGACUCUUUUACUUUAUUUUAUNNNNNNNNNNNNUAAUCUUGAAAAAUGCCAAAAAAUAAUUUUAUUUUAACGGUCAGUCUUAUUUUAACAAUUAUUUUACUUAAGUAGGACUAAUUAAUAAAUGAGAUCGUAUUUUAGUCUUGUUCGCGGGGAAAGAAUAAAUUUGGGUUCAAGCGACCCAUUUUUAAGUGUAAUUUUCGAACCUUCCCAAGACCAUAAUACCUAGGCCCAUACCCCUAAACUAAUUCCUACCCCCAUAUAAUAGUACUUAAUGCCUAAAUAAGGCCGUACGCCAAAAACAACCCAAUCCGCUGUUUGUCUUCAUAAAUCAAAAGAAAAGACAAAAAAGAUGACAAUAAGAAAAGGACCAAAAAGCUGACCUAGGGAUACAAUCAAACGCUAUAACCAAAAAGAGAGGAGCCAUCUUUUGACAAAAAAAUCGUACCCCCACCCCCUGACUUCAUCUUCUCCAAACGACCCCCCUUUUCCUCUUCUCCGGCGGAGCCCACACCAGCGACCAACAGCAGCCCCUAUUUCGCCAAAAAAUAAGCAGAAAUAGACCGGAAAAAGUCCCCGACGAGGUCCCGGUUCAAGUUUCCGGCGUACGGUCAGAGGCUAAGGAGGAACUUCGUAGGCAAGAAGUGGAGGUAGUCCUCUCAUAUUCUUCUUAUUCUCGUCUUAGCAAACUCUAUAGUAUGCUUUAUCUAUCAUCCAAAAUAUGUACUUUGUCAUCUCUCAUUUAUUGUGUUUUAAAUUCUAUUUAAAUCUGAUUACCUUAGAUGACGACAACGUGCAUUAGUCUGUUAAUUUAUCUAUACAAAUUUAAGAGGGGUGGUAUUCAAUAGAACUAUGUUCAUUUUAUGUUCUACCUAAGCAGAAAUUCGAAAAGUUUCUUAUUUCGCGUAAGAACAUACAAACCAUUUAUCCUAGAUAUAUGUGUUCAAGUUAUAUCUCAGUUCAAAUGGGUGUAUUUCAGAAAUUGAGGCAAUGCGAUUAAAUUGAUUUUUUUAAUUACCAAAUUCGGGUGUGCAUUUCAUGUGACCCUACCAUAAUUUUGAAUAAUGAUAGUAGAAAUUAUCAUGUUAUAAAUCCGGGUGUACAUUUUAUGUGACCCGGCUCUCAUUUCCAACAAGGUUAAAUAGAACGUGUCGUGAACCACGGGUGCAUUUCAUGUAGCGUGGCUUGCGAUGUGUUUUGAAUAACCUUGAAUUAAUCCUUUAAAUAAUUAAAGCGAUUUUCAAAAGUUAAAAAUGCACAUAGGUUUAAAACUAUUUUAAAAAUCAAAUAAAUAGGCCAAUAAUAAUAGUUGAGCGACCGUGCUAGAACCACUGAAUCCGGAAAUGCCUAACACCUUCUCCCGGGUUAACAUAAUUCCUUACCCGGAUUUCUGUGUUUGCGGACUAUAAAACAGAGUCAAUCUUUUCUCAAUUCGGGAUUUGAACUGGUGACUUGGGACACCAUAAACCAUCCCAAGUGGCGACUCUGAUUUUAAAUAAAAUAAUCCCGUUUCGAUUGUUACUUAAAUUGGAAAGAACUCCCUUAUGCCGCCCUCGGGCGGUAAAAACAGGUGUGACACUUUUGAUACGAAUGAACAUGUGGGGGAAUAAGGAUUUCAUUGAUGUAAAUUUUGUCAGAUUCCGAGACGUGGGCUCGGGGGUCGGGUUUGGUAAAUUUUGGGAUUUGUUUUGUAAUUUGGUUACUUUCGAGUGGGCUUUGUUCCCUUAGCAUAUUUUGAUGAUUAUAUACUGAUUUUGGUUAGAUUUUGGGUCAUCACCUGUUUUUAAAAUGAAUUCUAUGUUCUGAGGCCUUAACCUCUUUUUGUCUCACAUCGAUUUGCGUGCACAGUCGGGACACGUAGCCGGAAAGCUAAUAUGUGAAAAUCUGUGGAAAAUGGUAAAUUUUGAUUAUAAAAUGAAUUAGGUUGACUUCGGUCAAUAUUUUGGGUAAAUGGACCGAACCCAUGAUUUGACGGUCCUGGAGGGUCCGUAGGAAAAUAUGGGACUUGGGCGUAUGCCCGAAAUCGAAUUCCGAGGUCUCAAGCCCGAGAAAUAAAUUUUUAAAGAAAAUUGUUUUUCUGAAUAUAUUUAUGAGAUUUAGAAAUGAAUUGUUAUUAGAACUUGAUGGUAUCGGGCCCGUAUUUUGGUUCCGGCAGGUCUUAUAUUUGAUUUAAGAUAAGUCUGUGAAAUUUGGUAAGAAAUGGACUUGAAACGACGUGAAUCGGAUCAUUUUUUAGAAAACUGGAAAUUUGAAGUUCUUAAGAAAAUUUCAUGAUUUUGAUGCUAAAUUCCUAGUUGUUGAUGUUAUCUUAGUGAUUUGAAUGCACGAGCAAGUCCGUAUGAUAUUUUUAGAUUGGUGUGCAUGUUUGGUUGAGAGCCCCGAGGGCUCGGGUGAGUUUUGGAUAGGCCACAAAGUGAAAUUUUAACUUAGGAAAUUGCUGGUAUGCUUCAGGCCUACAGGCUUCGCAUCUCGCAAAUGCGAGCAAUGUAUCGCAAAUGCGAUAGGUGGCCUGGGUUGCCUUCUUCGCAAAUGCGAACUGUCUAUUGCAAAUGCGACGUCUGCCUGGAAUCCCCCUUAGUCACAAAUGCGAGACCUCAGUCGCACAUGCGACUUCACAAAUGCGACACUGCUUUCGCAAAUGCGAACAUAGCAGAGGUCGGGGUUCGCAAUUCCCAUAUCUGCAACCUGUAAUUUUUAUACUUAGCCGAAAAUCAACCAUUUUUCACACUCUUUCAAAACCAAAACACUCUCGGGCGAUUUUUCAAAGACAACUCUUCUUCCAAAUCGAUUGUAAGUCAAUUUCAACUCUUUUUCUUCAAUCAUUAACAUCUUUUAACAUGAUUUCAACUCAAAAUCAAUGAUUUUCAUGGGGGAAAUAGAGUGUAUUGGGUAGAACCUAGGUUUUUCAAAAAUUGAGGAUUUGGACCUCGAUUUGAGGUCCGAUUUCAAACAAAUUAUAUAUUUGGGUUUGUGGGAAAAUGGGUAAUCGAGUUUUUGUUCGAACCUCGGGUUUUGACCAUGUGGGCCUGGGGGCAAUUUUUGACGUUUUGGGUAAAAAUUUCGAAAACUCAUUUUUAUGCAUUGGGGUUGAUUCAUUUAGCGUUUAUUGAUGUAAUUAAGUAACUUGUGGCUAUAUACGAGCAAAUUAGUGGUGGAAUCAAAGGGUAAAGCAAUAAUUGAGACGUGAAUUGUGACGUGAAUUGUGUUCGUGGCAUCGAUGUAAGUGUUUGGUUUAACCUGAGCUUGAGGGAUUAGGAGUUGUGUCCUAUUUGCUACUUGUUUCUUAUUGAGUACGAUGUAUAGGCAUGGUGACGAGUAUCUAUACAUUGGUGUCGAGCAUGAUCGUGAGCCUUAAAUUGUGAUUUAUUGUGUUCUUGAAUAAUACUACGGAUGCUUAAAUUGAUUAUUCUCUGUAUUGAGCAAGGAUUAUGAUUGUUCUCGUGGAAUUACUUAUGAUUGAGUAUUGGUGUUAGCUGAAGUAGUUAGAUGUUGGAACAAGUUUGGUUAUAGCUAUUUCUCCCUUGCCGGGAUGUAUUUAUUGAUACUGUCGAUUCCCUUGCCGGAAUAGUGUAGUUCUUUAUUGAUACCUUGCCGGGACUCUUGUUAUGAUUGUUGUUGAUUAUAUAUGUGGAUCGGGUUGCACGCCGCAAUAAUAUUAUAUGUGGAUCGGGUUACACGCCGCAACAAUAUUAUAUGUGGAUGGUUGCACGUCGCAACAAUGAUAUAUGUGGAUCGGGUUACACGUCGCAACAAUGAUAUAUGUGGAUCGGGUUGCACGCCGUAAUAGUGUUGUUAUAUUUUGGGAUCGGGUUGCGUGCCGCAACAAUUAUUGAUACAAAGUGUUUAUAGAUUGGAUACAAGUUUCUUAUUGUUUUGCCGUGAAUUCUAAGCUAUCAUUAUGCCGUUACUCUUGAUUUACUGUUGAUAUUGAUACACCCCUCGCAGCAUGUACCCUCAUCCCAUCUUUACUUGUUUAUUCCUGCUUCAUUUUAUGCAGUAUAUUAUAUAACUGCACAGGUUCAUUUGGUAGUCUGGUCAUUGCCUCGUCACUACUUCGCCGAGGUUAGGCUAGGCACUUACCAACACAUGGGGUCGGUUGUGCUGAUACUACACUCUGCACUAUGUGCAGAUCCCGGAGCAGCUCUUGGACCAUAGCAUUUGGGUGGCUACCUUCAGUCCACGCAGAGAUCCAAGGUAGACCUGUAGGCGUCCGCAGGCCCUGGCGUCUCCUCUAUCCUUUAUUUCCUGUUUCAUUUCUUUGAUUUAGAAACAGCGUAUCUUUAUUUUCAGACUUUAUAUUUAGCACUCUUAGAUCAUCUGUGGUACUGUGACACCAGUUCUGGGUGAUUAAGGCUUAAAUAGUUGUAUUAGAUUCAUAUUUCACAUAUUUUACUACAUUUCUUCCGCUUAAUGAAAUUUUCGUUGUUUUUCACAUUAUUGCUUUAUAAAUGCUAAAAGGGUAUAAAAAUGGAUAAAGGUAAUUUGUUCAAUAAUUGGCUUGCCUAGCUCACAUUAGUAGGCACCAUCACGACUCCCGAGGGUGGGAAAUCCGGGUCAUGACAAGUUGGUAUCAGAGCUCUAGGUUACUUGGGUCUCACAGUUCACAGACAAGCUUAGUAAAUCUGAGGGAUCGGUAUAGAGACGUCUGUAUUUAUCCCUAGAGGCUACAUAGUUAGGAAAAACUUCACAUUUAUUCCUUCCUGUCAUGCGGUUUGGUUUCUCAAUGCUAAUUGAAUUUCUACUCUGUUUUUUCGUAAAUGGCGAGAACACGCGCUUCCUCAUCCACUGACCAGCAGCCCGAGCCCCCAGCAGCAACUCCCACGAGGGGCAGAGGGCGAGGCCGAGGCCGUGCUAGAGGCCUAGGUAGGGACAGAGCUCAGCCCAAAGCAGCAGCAUCAGCAGUAGAUCCUCAGGUUGAUUUUGAUGUUUAAGUUCUAGCCCCAGCAGUUCCGGUGGGCCCAGCUCAGGUCCCAUAGGGGUUUAUUGCUACCCCAGUACUCUAGGAUGCUCUGGUCCGUCUAGUGGACCUUAUGGAGAGUGUCACCCGGGCAGACUUGCUUCCUAUAGCACCAGCCAUCUCUUAGGCUGGAAGAGGAGCCCAGACUCCUGCUACUCGCACUUUGGAGCAGGUAGCUCCCCAGUUUCAGACUCCAACAGUUCAGCCAGUUGGAGCAGUUCAGACAGGUGUGGUAGCUCAGAUCGGUGAUGGAGCAUCUAUGUCUGCUGAUGCUUUGUAGAGAUUGGACAGGUUCACCAAGCUCUUCACAACUACCUUCAGCGGUGCAUCUUCUAAGGAUCCCCAGGAUUAUCUAGACAGCUGUCAUGAGGUUCUCAGGAUCAUGGGGAUAGUAGAGACCAAUAGGGUCGAUUUUUGUACCUUUUGCUUGUCGGGAUCCGCAAAGACUUGGUGGAGAGACUAUUGUUUGGAUAGACUAUCUGGAUUACCAGCCUUGACUUGGGAGAAAUUUACUCAGCUAUUUCUGGAGAAGUUUCUCCCCAUCACUCAGAGAGAAACCUAUCGGAGGCAGUUUGAGCGUCUUCAGUAGGGUUCUGUGACUGUUACCUAGUAUGAGACCAGAUUCAUCGACUUGGCUCAUCAUGCUCUUAUCAUACUUCCCACCGAGAGAGAGAGGGAUCUUCAGAUGGCUAGGGAGGCUGGGAGUGAGAUAUCUUUCCAGGAGGUAGCCAAUGUGGCCCGGAGAGUUGAGAUGGUUCUAUCGCAGGGAGAUGGUCAUGGGUCGGACAAGAGGCCCCGUCAUUCAGGCAGAUCCACUCUGGAGCCAGGGAUUCAUAUGGUAGAGGCCAUCCUCCUAGGCCCUUUCAGUCAACACUUCAGGUUUCUCACGGUGCUUUGGGUGGCCGUAGUUCUCAUAUGCAGUAUUCUGAUCAGCAGUCCUACAGUGCACCACCAACUCCUAUCAGUACACCGACGCUCAAGAGUUUUUGGGGUGGUCAUUAAUGUCGCCAGGGUCAGUCUUAGUUUCCUCUACUGUAGCAUUCAGGUGGAUGUUUUAAGUGUGAUAAGUAUGGUCAUAUCAGGAGGGCUUGUCCUAGAUUGGUAGGUACUCAGUCGCAGCGGUAUGGUUCCCGUGUUAUGGUUCAGGCACCAGGUGUUCCACAACCCGCCCAGCCAGCUAGAGGUGGGGGUAAAGGUGCUAGAGAUAGAGGUAGAGGUCAGACCGCUAGAGGUGGAGGCCAACCAGCUGCAGGCCGUCCCAAAGAUGUAGUCCAGGGUGGUGGGGCCCAACCCCGAGGGUAUGCUCUUCCAGCUAGGCUUGAGGCUGAGGCUUCCGAUGUAGUUAUCAUAGGUAUUGUUCUAGUUUGUGGCCGAGAUUCUUCAGUUUAUUUAAUCCAGGGUCUAUAUACUCCUAUGUGUCAUCUUAUUUUGCACCGUAUCUGGUCAUGCCUAGUCAUUCCUUUAGUGCCUCUAUUGUGGUAGAUCGAGUCCAUCGCUUUUGCAUAGUUGUGAUUAGGGGUCUUGAGACUCGUGUAGAUUUGUUUCUUCUGGACAUGGUUGAUUUCGAUGUCAUAUUGGGGAUGGACUGGUUAUCACCUUACCACGCUAUCUUGGACUAUUAUGCCAAGACUAUGACCUUAGCCUUGCCGGAUUUACCUCGUUUGGAGUGGAAAGGGACUCCUGGUCAUUCUACCCGUAGUGUCAUCUCUUAUGUGAAGGCUCGACGUAUGGUCGAGAAGGGGUGUUUGGCCUAUUUGGCAUAUGUUUGUGAUUCUAGUGCCGAGGUUCCUUCCAUUGAUUCUGGGCCUGUUGCUUGUAAGUUCCCUAAGGUAUUUCCUUCAGACCUGCCAGGUAUGCCACCUGAUAGGGAUAUUGACUUUUGCAUUGAUUUGGCUCCGGGCACUCAACCCAUUUUUAUUCCACCGUAUUAUAUGGCCCCGCCUGAGUUGAAAGAGUUGAAGGAGCAGUUACAAGACUUGCUUGAGAAGGGUUUCAUUAGACCGAGUGUUUCACCUUGGGGUGUGCCAGUGUUGUUUGUUAAGAAGAAGGACAGAUCAAUGAGAAUGUGUAUCGAUUACCGGCAAUUGAACAAGGUUACAAUCAAGAAUAAGUAUCCAUUGCCGAGGAUUAAUGAUUUGUUUGAUCAGCUUCAGGGUGCCAAGGUAUUCUCGAAGAUUGACUUGAGAUCUGUCUACCAUCAGUUGAGGAUUAAGGCAUCCGAUGUCCCUAAGACAGCUUUCCACACUCAGUACGGGCAUUAUGAGUUCCUGGUGAUGUCAUUCGGGUUGACAAAUGCCCCAACAGCUUUUAUGGAUUUGAUGAACUGAGUGUUCAGGCCUUACAUGGGUUCAUUCGUGAUAGUCUUCAUUGAUGAUAUUUUGAUAUAUUCCCGCAAUCGGGAGGUACACAAGCAUCAUCUUAGAGUGGUUCUUCAGACUUUAAGGGAUAGUCAGUUGUAUGCCAAGUUUUUAAAAUGUGAGUUCUGGUUGAGUUCAGUUGCAUUCCUGGGUCAUGUUGUAUCUGCAGAGGGUAUUCAGGUUGAUCCGAAGAAGAUUGAGGUAGUCAAGAACUAGCCUAGACCAGCAUCAGCUACAGAGAUUCGGAGUUUCUUGGGAUUGACAGGAUAAUACCGUCGGUUUGUGGAGGGGUUUUCAUCUAUCGCAGCCCCGAUGACUACGUUGACCUAGAAGGGUGACUAGUUCAGAUGGUCGGACGAGUGUGAGGAGAGCUUUUAGAAGCUCAAGACAGCUCUGACUAUGGCACCGGUGUUGGUUUUACCCAUAGGUUUAGGGCCUUAUACAGUUUAUUGUGAUGCAUCUCGUAUUGGACUUGGUGCGGUGUUGAUGCAGGAUGGCAAGGUCAUUGUCUAUUCUUCGCGGCAGUUGAAGAUUCAUGAGAAGAAGUAUCCAGUUCAUGAUUUGGAGUUGGCAGCCAUUUUUCACUCGUUGAAGAUCUGGAGGCAUUAUCUGUAUGGCAUGGCAUGUGAGGUGUUCACGAUCACAAGAGUCUGCAGUAUUNNNNNNNNNNNNNNNNNNNNNNNNNNNNNNNNNNNNNNNNNNNNNNNNNNNNNNNNNNNNNNNNNNNNNNNNNNNNNNNNNNNNNNNNNNNNNNNNNNNNNNNNNNNNNNNNNNNNNNNNNNNNNNNNNNNNNNNNNNNNNNNNNNNNNNNNNNNNNNNNNNNNNNNNNNNNNNNNNNNNNNNNNNNNNNNNNNNNNNNNNNNNNNNNNNNNNNNNNNNNNNNNNNNNNNNNNNNNNNNNNNNNNNNNNNNNNNNNNNNNNNNNNNNNNNNNNNNNNNNNNNNNNNNNNNNNNNNNNNNNNNNNNNNNNNNNNNNNNNNNNNNNNNNNNNNNNNNNNNNNNNNNNNNNNNNNNNNNNNNNNNNNNNNNNNNNNNNNNNNNNNNNNNNNNNNNNNNNNNNNNNNNNNNNNNNNNNNNAUGUGGUGGCCGACGCUUUGAGUAGGAAGUCAGCCAGUAUGGGCAGUCUUGCUUUGGAUGUUCAGGCUUUGGCCAAUCAGUUCCUGAGGUUGGAUGUUUCUGAGCCCAGUCGUGUGUUAGCUUGCACGGUCGCUCGUUCCUCUUUAUUGGAGCGUAUCCAUGAUCAGCAGUAUGAUGAUCCCUAUUUGUGUGUCCUUAGAUACACGGUGCAGCACGGAGGAGCCAAGCAGGUUACUUUAGGUGAUGAUGGAGUUUUGAGAUUGCAGGGUCGAAUUUGCGUGCCUAAUGUAGAUAGGCUCUGAGAGUUGAUUUUAAAGGAGGCCCAUAGUUCCCGAUACUCUAUUCAUCUGGGCACUGCUAAGAUGUAUCAGGAUUUGCGGCAACAUUAUUAGUGGAGAAGAAUGAAGAAGGAUAUCGUUGCAUAUGUGGCUUGGUAUUUGAACUGUCAGCAGGUUAAGUACGAGCAUCAGAGGCCUAGUGGUUUAUUUCAGAGGAUUGAGCUUCCCGAGUGGAAGUGGGAGCGGAUCACUAUGGACUUUGUUGUUGGACUCCCAUGGACUCAGAGGAAGUUCGAUGCAGUGUGGGUUAUUGUUGAUAGGCUAACUAAGUCAGCACAUUUCAUUCCUGUGGAAGUCUCCUAUUUUUUCGAGAGGUUAGGUAAGAUCUAUAUCCGGGAGAUUGUUUGUCUUCAUGGUGUGCCCGAGUCUAUCAUUUCGGACCGAGGUACGCAAUUUACCUCGCAUUUUGGAGAGCAGUUCAGCGAGAGUUGGGCACACCGGUUGAGUUGAGCACAACAUUUCAUCUUCAAACGGAUGGGCAGUCCGAGCGGUAUGGUAGGCUCGUGGGAUCAGUUUUUGCCUUUAGCGGAGUUUGCCUACAACAACAGCUACCCAUCGAGUAUCUAGAUGGCUCCUUAUGAGGCUUUGUAUGGUAGGCGAUGACGGUCGCCAGUUGGAUGGUUUGAGCUGCAAAAGGUCCGGUUGUUGGGUACAGAUCUGGUUUAGGAUGUCUUGGACAAGGUCAGGAUUAUUCAGGAUAGGCUUCGUAUAGCUUAGUCCAAGAAAAAGAGUUAUGCCGACUGUACAGUUCGUGAUUUGGCAUUCAUGGUUGGUGAGCGGGUAUUGCUUCGAGUGUCGCCUAUGAAGGGCGUGAUGAGAUUUGGGAAGAAGGGCAAGCUUAGCCCUAGGUUCAUUGGCCCGUUUGAGAUUCUUGAUCGAGUGGGAGAGGUGGCUUAUAGACUUGCGUUGCCACCGGGCUUAUCAGCCGUGCAUCCAGUGUUUCAUGUGUCCAUGCUUAGGAAAUAUCACGGCGAUCCAUCCCACGUGUUAGAUUUCUGCACUGCCCAGUUAGACAAGGACUUGUCUUAUGAGGAGGAGCCGAUAGCUAUUAUGGACCGGCAGGUUUGUCAGUUGAGAUCGAAAAGUUUUCCUUCUGUUCGUGUUCAGUGGAGAGGUCAGCCUACUUAGGCAUCGACCUGGGAGUCCGAGUCCGAUAUGCGGAGCCAUUAUCCCUAUCUUUUUCCCGACUCAUGUACUUCCUUCAUCUGUCCAUUCGAGGACGACCAGUUGUUUUAGAGGGGGAGAAUGUGAUGACCUUGGGUCAUCACCUGUUUUUAAAAUGAAUUCUGCGUUUCGAGGCAUUAAAAACCUCUUUCUGUCUCACAUCGAUUUGCGUAUGUAGUCCGGGUGCAUAGCCAGAAAGUUAAUAUGUGAAAAUCUGUGAAAAUGGUAAAUUUUGAUUAUAAAAUGAAUUAAGUUGACUUCGAUUAAUAGUUUGGGUAAGUGGACUCAGACCCAUGAUUUGACGGUCCCGGAGGGUCCGUAGGAAAAUAUGGGACUUGGGCGUAUGCCCGGAAUCGAAUUCUGAGGUCCCAAGUCUGAGAAAUGAAUUUUUAAAGAAAGUUAUUUUCUGAAAUUAUUUAGGAGAUUUGGAAAUGAAUUGUGAUUAGAACUCGAUUGUAUCGGGCCGGUAUUUUGGUUCCGGUGCCCGGUACAGGUCUUAUAUGUGAUUUAAGAUAAGUGUGUAAAAUUUAGUGAGAAACGGACUUGAAACGACGUGAAUCGGAUCAUUUUUGAGAAAAUUAGAAAUUUGAAGUUCUUAAGAAAAUUUUAUGAUUUUGAUGCUAAAUUCCUAGUUGUUGAUGUUAUCUUAGUGAUUUGAAUGCACGAUCAAGUCCGUAUGAUGUUUUUAGGUUGGUGUGCACGUUUGGUUGGGAGCCCCGGGGGAUCGGGUGAGUUUUGGAUAGGCCACAGAGUGAAAUUUUAACUUAGGGAAUUAUGUAUGCUUCAGGCCUGCAGGCUUCGCAUUGCGAAGCCUGUCUCGCAAAUGCGAGCAAUGUAUCGCAAAUGCGAGAAGUGGCAUGGGCUGCCUUCUUCCCAAAUGCGAAGAGUCUGUCGCAAAUGCCACAUCUGCCUGGAAUCCCCCUUAGUCACAAAUGCGAACAUAGCAAAGGCCGGGGUUCGCAAUUCCCAUAUCUACAACCUGCAAAUUUUAUAGUUAGCCAAAAAUCAACCAUUUUUCACACUCUUUUAAAACCAAAACACUCUUGGGCAAUUUUCAAAAACAACUCUUCUUCCAAAGUCGAUUGUAAGUCAAUUUUAACUCGUUUUCUUCAAUCAUUAAUAUCUUUUCACAUGAUUUCAACUCAAGAUCAAUGAUUUUCAUGGGGGAAAUUGGGUAUUUUGGGUAGCACAUAGGUUUUUCAAGAAUUGAGGAUUUGGACCUCGAUUUGAGGUCCGAUUUCAAACAAAUUAUAUAUUUCGGUUCGUGGGAAAAUGGGUAAUCGGGUUUUGGUUUGAAUCUCGGGUUUUUUUACCAUGUGGGCCCAGGGGCAAUUUUUAACUUUUUGGGUAAAACUUUGGAAAACUCAUUUUUAUGCAUCGGGGUUGAUUCAUUUAUUGUUUAUUGAUGUAAUUAAGUAACUUGUGGCUAGAAUUGGUGGUGGAAUCAAGGUGUAAACGAUAAUUGAGACGUGAAUUGUGUUCGUGACAUCGAGGUAAGUGUUUAGUUUAACCUUUGCUUGAGGGAUUAGAAGUUGUUUCCUAUUUGCUACUUGUUUCUUGUUGAGUACGACACAUAGGCAUGGUGACGAGUAUCUAUACAUUGGUGUCGAGCAUGACCGUGAGUCUUAAAUUGUGAUUUACUUUGUUCUUGAAUAAUACUACGGAUGCUUAAAUUGAUGAUUCUCUGUAUUAAGCAAGGAUUAUGAUUGUUCUCGUGGAAUUACUUAUGAUUGAGUAUUGGUGUUAACUGAGGUAGUUAGAUAUUGGAACAAGUUUGGUUAUAGCUAUUUCUCCCUUGCCGGGACGUAUUUACUGAUUUUGUCGAUUCCCUUACCAGGAUAGUGUAGUUCUUUAUUGAUCCCUUGCCAAGACUCUUGUUAUGAUUGUUGUUGAUUAUAUAUGUGGAUCGGGUUACACGGCGCAACAAUAUUAUAUGUGGAUCGGGUUGCACGCCACAACAAUGAUAUAUGUGGAUCGGGUUGCAUGCUGCAACAAUGAUAUAUGUGGAUCGGGUUGCACAUUGCAACGGUGAUAAAUGAUAUGGAUCAGGUUGCACGCCGCAAUAGUGUUGUUAUAUAUUGGGAUCGGGUUGCGUGGCACAACAAUUGUUGAUACAAAGUGUUUAUAGAUUGGAUACAAGUUUCUUAUUGUUUUGUCGUGAAUUCUAAGCUAUCCUUAUGCCAUUACUCUUGAUUUAUUGUUGAUAUUGAUACACCCCCGCAACAUGUACCACCCUCCCAUCUUUACUUGAUUAUUCUUGUUUCAUUUUCCAUUGUAUAUUAUAUAACUGCACAGGUUCAUUUGGUAGUCUGGUCCUAGCCUCGUCACUACUUCGUCGAGGUUAGGCUAGGCACUUACCAACACAUGAGGUCGGUUGUGCUGAUACUACACUCUGCACUAUGUGCAGAUCCUGGAGCAACUCUUGGACCAUAGCAUUUGGGUGGCUACCUUCAGUCCACACGGAGAUCCAAGGUAGACCUGUAGGCGUUCGCAGGCCCUGGCGUCUCUUCUAUCGUUUAUUUCCUGUUUUAUUUCUUUGAUUCGGAAAUAGUGUAUCUUUAUUUUAAGGCUUUGUAUUUAGCACUCUUAGAUCGUCUGUGGUACUAUGACACCAGUUCUGGGUGAUUAAGGCUUAAAGAGUUGUAUUAUAUUCAUAUUUUAGAUAUUUUACUACAUUUCUUCUACUUAAUGAAAUUUCCG